AACGAACGCUGGCGGCAGGCUUAACACAUGCAAGUCGAACGCACCUUUCGGGGUGAGUGGCAGACGGGUGAGUAACGCGUGGGAAUCUACCCUUCUCUACGGGAUAGCUCCGGGAAACUGGAAUUAAUACCGUAUACGUCCUGAGGGCGAAAGAUUUAUCGGGGAAGGAUGAGCCCGCGUUGGAUUAGCUAGUUGGUGGGGUAAAGGCCUACCAAGGCGACGAUCCAUAGCUGGUCUAAGAGGAUGAUCAGCCACAUUGGGACUGAGACACGGCCGAGACUCCGAGUGGAGGCAGCAGUGGGGAAUAUUGGACAAUGGGCGCAAGCCUGAUCCAGCCAUGCCGCGUGAGUGAUGAAGGCCCUAGGGUUGUAAAGCUCUGUCAGUGGGGACGAUAAUGACGGUACCCACAGAAGAAGCCCCGGCUAACUUCGUGCCAGCCGCCGCAGUAAUAC
rnacentral:rRNA from 1 species